AGAGUUUGAUCCUGGCUCAGAUUGAACGCUGGCGGCAUGCCUUACACAUGCAAGUCGAACGGCAGCACGGGGGCAACCCUGGUGGCGAGUGGCGAACGGGUGAGUAAUACAUCGGAACGUGUCCUGUAGUGGGGGAUAGCCCGGCGAAAGCCGGAUUAAUACCGCAUACGAUCUACGGAAGAAAGCGGGGGACCGAAAGGCCUCGCGCUAUAGGGGCGGCCGAUGGCAGAUUAGCUAGUUGGUGGGGUAAAGGCCUACCAAGGCGACGAUCUGUAGCUGGUCUGAGAGGACGACCAGCCACACUGGGACUGAGACACGGCCCAGACUCCUACGGGAGGCAGCAGUGGGGAAUUUUGGACAAUGGGGGAAACCCUGAUCCAGCAAUGCCGCGUGUGUGAAGAAGGCCUUCGGGUUGUAAAGCACUUUUGUCCGGAAAGAAAACCUUCGCUCGAAUACAGUGGGGGGAUGACGGUACCGGAAGAAUAAGCACCGGCUAACUACGUGCCAGCAGCCGCGGUAAUACGUAGGGUGCGAGCGUUAAUCGGAAUUACUGGGCGUAAAGCGUGCGCAGGCGGUUCGUUAAGACAGAUGUGAAAUCCCCGGGCUUAACCUGGGAACUGCAUUUGUGACUGGCGAGCUAGAGUAUGGCAGAGGGGGGUAGAAUUCCACGUAGCAGUGAAAUGCGUAGAGAUGUGGAGGAAUACCGAUGGCGAAGGCAGCCCCCUGGGCCAAUACUGACGCUCAUGCACGAAAGCGUGGGGAGCAAACAGGAUUAGAUACCCUAGUAGUCC
rnacentral:rRNA from 1 species